GCCUCUCGAAGCAAGCUAUCGCUAAAGGAUGGGCCUGCGUCUGAUUAGCUAGUUGGUAGUGUAACGGACUACCAAGGCGAUGAUCAGUAGCCGGUCUGAGAGGAUGAACGGCCACAUUGGGACUGAGACACGGCCCAAACUCCUACGGGAGGCAGCAGUGGGGAAUCUUCCGCAAUGGACGAAAGUCUGACGGAGCAACGCCGCGUGAGUGAUGAAGGAUUUCGGUCUGUAAAGCUCUGUUGUUUAUGACGAACGUGCAGUGUGUGAACAAUGCAUUGCAAUGACGGUAGUAAACGAGGAAGCCACGGCUAACUACGUGCCAGCAGCCGCGGUAAUACGUAGGUGGCGAGCGUUGUCCGGAAUUAUUGGGCGUAAAGAGCAUGUAGGCGGCUUAAUAAGUCGAGCGUGAAAAUGCGGGGCUCAACCCCGUAUGGCGCUGGAAACUGUUAGGCUUGAGUGCAGGAGAGGAAAGGGGAAUUCCCAGUGUAGCGGUGAAAUGCGUAGAUAUUGGGAGGAACACCAGUGGCGAAGGCGCCUUUCUGGACUGUGUCUGACGCUGAGAUGCGAAAGCCAGGGUAGCGAACGGGAUUAGAUACCCCGGUAGUCCUGGCCGUAAACGAUGGGUACUAGGUGUAGGAGGUAUCGACCCCUUCUGUGCCGGAGU
rnacentral:rRNA from 1 species